rnacentral:rRNA from 1 species
AGAGUUUGAUCCUGGCUCAGGACGAACGCUGGCGGCGUGCUUAACACAUGCAAGUCGAACGAAGCACUUUAUUUGAUUUCCUUCGGGACUGAUUAUUUUGUGACUGAGUGGCGGACGGGUGAGUAACGCGUGGGUAACCUGCCUUGUACAGGGGGAUAACAGUUGGAAACGGCUGCUAAUACCGCAUAAGCGCACAGCAUCGCAUGAUGCAGUGUGAAAAACUCCGGUGGUAUAAGAUGGACCCGCGUUGGAUUAGCUAGUUGGUGAGGUAACGGCCCACCAAGGCGACGAUCCAUAGCCGACCUGAGAGGGUGACCGGCCACAUUGGGACUGAGACACGGCCCAAACUCCUACGGGAGGCAGCAGUGGGGAAUAUUGCACAAUGGGCGAAAGCCUGAUGCAGCGACGCCGCGUGAGCGAAGAAGUAUUUCGGUAUGUAAAGCUCUAUCAGCAGGGAAGAUAAUGACGGUACCUGACUAAGAAGCACCGGCUAAAUACGUGCCAGCAGCCGCGGUAAUACGUAUGGUGCAAGCGUUAUCCGGAUUUACUGGGUGUAAAGGGAGCGCAGGCGGUGCGGCAAGUCUGAUGUGAAAGCCCGGGGCUCAACCCCGGUACUGCAUUGGAAACUGUCGUACUAGAGUGUCGGAGGGGUAAGCGGAAUUCCUAGUGUAGCGGUGAAAUGCGUAGAUAUUAGGAGGAACACCAGUGGCGAAGGCGGCUUACUGGACGAUAACUGACGCUGAGGCUCGAAAGCGUGGGGAGCAAACAGGAUUAGAUACCCUGGUAGUCCACGCCGUAAACGAUG